rnacentral:rRNA from 1 species
UACGGGAGGCAGCAGUGGGGAAUAUUGCACAAUGGGCGCAAGCCUGAUGCAGCCAUGCCGCGUGUAUGAAGAAGGCCUUCGGGUUGUAAAGUACUUUCAGUCGUGAGGAAGGUGUUAAGGUUAAUAACCUUAGCAAUUGACGUUAGCGACAGAAGAAGCACCGGCUAACUCCGUGCCAGCAGCCGCGGUAAUACGGAGGGUGCGAGCGUUAAUCGGAAUUACUGGGCGUAAAGGGCACGCAGGCGGUUAAUUAAGUUGGAUGUGAAAUCCCCGGGCUUAACCUGGGAAUGGCAUUCAAGACUGGUUAGCUAGAGUCUUGUAGAGGGGGUAGAAUUCCAUGUGUAGCGGUGAAAUGCGUAGAGAUGUGGAGGAAUACCGGUGGCGAAGGCGGCCCCUGGCAAAGGACUGACGCUCAUGUGCGAAAGCGUGGGGAGCAAACAGGAUUAGAUACC